AAACNCACAGGACUUACAUGACUGACUGUGC
rnacentral:piRNA from 1 species